rnacentral:rRNA from 1 species
AUGAAUCUUGGUACUCUUGUUAUCAUGGUGACUUUGCUGGUGUAUUUUGUCUUGAAGAAUAUAAGAGUGCUACUGUCCCAGCAGCAACGUGGGCGACGAGGCAGGCUGCCCCCGGGGCCUGUCACGCUGCCCAUCAUCGGUAACAUGCACCAGCUGAUUCUGAACAAGCCAGCAGUAUUCCGGUGGAUCCAUGGCCUGCUCAAGGAGAUGAAAACAGACAUCAUGUGCCUCCGUCUUGGGGCUACUCAUGUCAUUGUGGUGGCAUGCCCACAGAUAGUCUGUGAGGUACUGCGAACAAAAGAUGAAGUUUUCGCCUCCCGUCCCACCACCUUCGCCUCAGGCUUAUUCAGCUUCGGGUACAAGGGCUCCAUCUUCUCACCACAAGGAGAGCAGUGGAAGAAGAUGAGGCGUGUCCUCACCGUUCAGAUCCUCGCCUCGUCCAUGGAGGGAAAGCUCCACCACCUCCGGAAAGAGGAGUACGACCACCUUGUGAGGUACAUUAAUAAAACUCUUUCCAGCGACAUGGCAAUGUCCAAUCAACAUUGUCAACAUUCGUCAUGUAACCCAACACUACGUUGGUAA